UAACCUGCCCAAGAGAUCGGGAUAACACCUGGAAACAGAUGCUAAUACCGGAUAACAACAGAUGAUGCCUAUCAACUGUUUAAAAGAUGGUUCUGCUAUCACUCUUGGAUGGACCUGCGGUGCAUUAGCUAGUUGGCAGGGUAACGGCCUACCAAGGCGAUGGUGCAUAGCCGAGUUGAGAGACUGAUCGGCCACAUUGGGACUGAGACACGGCCCAAACUCCUACGGGAGGCAGCAGCG
rnacentral:rRNA from 1 species